GGCACUGUGACUCAAAGUGGUAGAGUGCCAGCCUUGAGCAGAAGUGUUCAGAGACAGUAUCCAGGUCUUGAGUUCAAAUCCCAUCAAUGCCA
rnacentral:tRNA from 1 species